AGCCUAGGACAGAGGGCAGACGGAGCUCGUUUGGAUCCCUUAGGACACAAGUCUUCCCCAACCACAGGACCCCCACCAAAGUGGCCUUCUCUGGAACUUCCCCUCCCAGGCCUCAGUGCUUGGGUAACUUGGUCUUCCCUCGCUCCUGUCCCAGCGCCCAUCACCCAGAAGGAUGCAGAUCACCACCUCCGGGCCAGUGUUCCAGCAGCAACCCAGGUGACUUAAGGAUGGGAUGAUUCUACAAAGAAUUCUGGAAAGAGGCAGCCCGCACCAGCAAAAUCCAACGGCUCUCCAGAUACACCCUGCGGCACCUCCCCUAAGCCCAGGCACCCGCAAGAAGCAAUCUGGGCAGUUGCUAGAGGCAAGAUGAUGAUUCAUUUUCAGCCUCUCAGGAUGUGCCAAGGGUAUAGAAGCCCUAGGUAAGAGAACCAGGCAGAACCGAUGGCACAACACGAAGCAGAGCCCACCACUGAGCCCACCAGCCCAGCCAGGGUUACCUUUUUGCGUGGCCGAAGCUUGUCCCGCCAUUCCUUUAGGUUCUGGUUAUGGCUUUCGUCCAGGGCCUUCAGCUUCUGGGUUUCAUGCUCUACCAGGAGGUGACACUUUUCAUUCUGCAACAUAUUCCAGGAAGUACAGGACACAGCAAGAAGGUAUCCAUCCGCAAGCCAGAGAGAGAGACUUCACCAGAACCCAGCCAUGCUGGCAAAGCUGAUCGUGGAUUUCCAGGCUCCAAAACUGUAAGAAAGUAAACUUCUGUUGUUUAAGCCA